ACGGCCUUCGGGUUGUAAACCUCUUUCAGCAGGGAAGAAGCGAAAGUGACGGUACCUGCAGAAGAAGCGCCGGCUAACUACGUGCCAGCAGCCGCGGUAAUACGUAGGGCGCAAGCGUUGUCCGGAAUUAUUGGGCGUAAAGAGCUCGUAGGCGGCUUGUCACGUCGGUUGUGAAAGCCCGGGGCUUAACCCCGGGUCUGCAGUCGAUACGGGCAGGCUAGAGUUCGGUAGGGGAGAUCGGAAUUCCUGGUGUAGCGGUGAAAUGCGCAGAUAUCAGGAGGAACACCGGUGGCGAAGGCGGAUCUCUGGGCCGAUACUGACGCUGAGGAGCGAAAGCGUGGGGAGCGAA
rnacentral:rRNA from 1 species